rnacentral:rRNA from 1 species
AGUGAACGCUGGCGGCAGGCCUAACACAUGCAAGUCGAACGGCAGCACAAGAGAGCUUGCUCUCUGGGUGGCGAGUGGCGGGCGGGUGAGGAAUGCAUCGGAAUCUGCCCAUUUGUGGGGGAUAACCUCGGGAAACCGGGACAAUACCGCAUACGACCUACGGGUGAAAGCAGGGGAUCUUCGGACCUUGCGCAGAUGGAUGAGCCGAUGCCGGAUUAGCUAGUUGGAGGGGUAAAGGCCCACCAAGGCGACGAUCCGUAGCUGGUCUGAGAGGAUGAUCAGCCACACUGGGACUGAGACACGGCCCAGACUCCUACGGGAGGCAGCAGUGGGGAAUAUUGGACAAUGGGCGCAAGCCUGAUCCAGCCAUGCCGCGUGUGUGAAGAAGGCCUUCGGGUUGUAAAGCACUUUUGUUGGGAAAGAAAAGCAGCCGGUUAAUACCCGGUUGUCAUGACGGUACCCAAAGAAUAAGCACCGGCUAACUUCGUG